GAAGGAACUUAGCAUAACUUGCCUGCCUUUAAUUUCAUACUAAAUUCUGCUCCAUCAUCUAACUCCAAAGAACUGUCUUCUCAGAACAAAGAAAGCUCAGAAUUCCAAAGCUGAAAUAUCCAAGAAACUAUUGCCCCCAGCUCCAGCUGGUGGAAUUACUAUCCUGGAGUGUGAAUCAGAAUCACAAGGAGACACAUACAUGUCCAGCCAUUACUCCAGAGACUGGGAAUCAGUGCUCCCUCCGCCUGACUCGACUGGACCCAGCAAGGUGUCUGUUCCAAAGUUCUAAAGGGGAUUCUAAGGAAUGCUCCUGAUGAGAACGGUGAAAGGAUUUCUAUC